AUCGCUUCUCAGCCUUUUGGCUAAGAUCACGUGUAGUAUCUGUUCUUAUCAGUUUAAUAUAUUAUCAUUUUUUUCAUUGUCCAUUUCCAUUAUGUUAAUGGAAGCUCCCUAGUGGCUAAGAGAUAGGGAACAAAAUAUAUAGGUAAAUAUAUUUAGUAUAUACUUUGUUCCAAGGAAAUACCUGCAAAGCUGGGGCAAAGGAGAGCAUAA
ensembl:snRNA U2 U2 spliceosomal RNA